GAUUGAACGCUGGCGGCAGGCCUAACACAUGCAAGUCGAACGGCAGCACAGAAGAGCUUGCUCUUUGGGUGGCGAGUGGCGGACGGGUGAGUAAUGUCUGGGAAACUGCCCGAUGGAGGGGGAUAACUACUGGAAACGGUAGCUAAUACCGCAUAACGUCGCGAGACCAAAGUGGGGGACCUUCGGGCCUCACACCAUCGGAUGUGCCCAGGUGGGAUUAGCUAGUAGGUGGGGUAAUGGCUCACCUAGGCGACGAUCCCUAGCUGGUCUGAGAGGAUGACCAGCCACACUGGAACUGAGACACGGUCCAGACUCCUACGGGAGGCAGCAGUGGGGAAUAUUGCACAAUGGGCGCAAGCCUGAUGCAGCCAUGCCGCGUGUAUGAAGAAGGCCUUCGGGUUGUAAAGUACUUUCAGCGGGGAGGAAGGCGGUGAGGUUAAUAACCUCGCCGAUUGACGUUACCCGCAGAAGAAGCACCGGCUAACUCCGUGCCAGCAGCCGCGGUAAUACGGAGGGUGCAAGCGUUAAUCGGAAUUACUGGGCGUAAAGCGCACGCAGGCGGUCUGUUAAGUCAGAUGUGAAAUCCCCGGGCUUAACCUGGGAACUGCAUUUGAAACUGGCAGGCUUGAGUCUCGUAGAGGGGGGUAGAAUUCCCAGGUGUAGCGGUGAAAUGCGUAGAGAUCUGGAGGAAUACCGGUGGCGAAGGCGGCCCCCUGGACGAAGACUGACGCUCAGGUGCGAAAGCGUGGGGAGCAAACAGGGUUAGAUACCCUGGUAGUCCACGCCGUAAACGAUGUCGACUUGGAGGUUGUGCCCUUGAGGCGUGGCUUCCGGAGCUAACGCGUUAAGUCGACCGCCUGGGGAGUACGGCCGCAAGGUUAAAACUCAAAUGAAUUGACGGGGGCCCGCACAAGCGGUGGAGCAUGUGGUUUAAUUCGAUGCAACGCGAAGAACCUUACCUGGCCUUGACAUCCAGAGAACUUAGCAGAGAUGCUUUGGUGCCUUCGGGAACUCUGAGACAGGUGCUGCAUGGCUGUCGUCAGCUCGUGUUGUGAAAUGUUGGGUUAAGUCCCGCAACGAGCGCAACCCUUAUCCUUUGUUGCCAGCGGUUCGGCCGGGAACUCAAAGGAGACUGCCGGUGAUAAACCGGAGGAAGGUGGGGAUGACGUCAAGUCAUCAUGGCCCUUACGAGUAGGGCUACACACGUGCUACAAUGGCGUAUACAAAGAGAAGCGACCUCGCGAGAGCAAGCGGACCUCAUAAAGUACGUCGUAGUCCGGAUUGGAGUCUGCAACUCGACUCCAUGAAGUCGGAAUCGCUAGUAAUCGUAGAUCAGAAUGCUACGGUGAAUACGUUCCCGGGCCUUGUACACACUGCC
rnacentral:rRNA from 1 species